rnacentral:piRNA from 1 species
UAGUGAGAGUGUUUUCACUUG